UCCUACAGUGUCACAAAUCUGUUCAAAUGGAACUAUAGUUUAAUUUACCUUUAUUUAAUUUAACUUUGUUAAAGGUGAGCUCUCUCUUCUUCAAGGGUGAAAUUGCUGAUUUUGAGGCGCUAAUUUCCCUUGUUUAUGUUCUUUCAAGUCUUCUGGUAACAGUCCACAGGGGAGGAACCCAACAUUGCUUCUCCAGGAUGAAGCCAAAGCCUGUUUGUGAGCUGGACUGGAUUUGCAGCUCAGGGAACAGCUUCUUGUGCCAAGGCUAUCAGCCUGUCCUCUCAGUAACAAGGCUCUUGUUAGUAGUAGUAUGUUAGCAUGACUUGGCAAUCACAGGCAUGCUUCAGGCAAGCAAAAACACUAUUUCAAACUAUUCUUGAGCAUCUGUCCAAUACUCUCACUGUCAUGUCUCAUUGCAGACACUUCUCUUAAAGGUGAGCACAGCAGCUUGCAAAGAGAUGGGGAAUGAAGCAAAAGAAAGUAGAGUUUAUGUUCUUUUUACCUAAAAUUCCUGAUUUUGUGAAUUUAGGUUUGUGCUAGGCCUUGUCUGUGACAGCAACUGCCUCUGAGCCUCCAUGAGCAAAGUGUAUUUGGCUGAGCCCACUCCUCACACACUUCCUUCUGCUGUAGUCAGACUUCUGAACAUGAGCAGGCUGAUGAAAACGGAAAUGGCAGGCAAGGUCCCAGACAACUCCUCCAGACAAUGCCUGCAUAACUGGAGGAAGUCACAGACCUCUCUCUGAUAAGCAGGAGGAUCAGCCUUCACAAGUCUAGGGAAUCCUGCCACAAUUGAACAUAAAUGGUUUUACUGAGCUUCCAGACAAAACCUUCUUAAAUCUGCAUAUUGGAAGAAACAAUAAGAAUAACGGACCAAAAAAAUGUACCUGGUGUUUCCCUUCACCUUCCCAGAUGCAAAGCAAGGUUUUGUUCAUUGCCUCUGGUCCUGUCACAGUCCUGUUGCUGCAGAGAAGAGUCUGACUCAUUCUUCUUUCCUUCUCACCACAGCUAUCAGAGAGGACAUGAAUUAUCAUUCUGACACCAGAUCUGAGUAAGCAGAUGCACUCCGUGUGAUCACGCGUGUUCUAUUGCAGGAGGCAGCAGCUCCAGCACUUCCUCCCAGCCCCCUGUUCCUAUAUAUAUGUUCCUGCGGGGCAUGGCAUCCAGAGGAGUGGAGGAAGAGUUUGGACUUGUGUACACUGAGCUGAGGUUCACUUAGUUCCAGGUUCUGAGAGAUAUUAUAUGACUGCUCGAUCCCAAAAGCACAUGGAGUCCAGAGAGCAGAAAAGAGGCCUCAUACUCUUCAUUUUUCAGAGAUUUAAGGCUAUAAAUACAUCUGUCUUCUGACUCUGCAGCCCAGAUAAGGAAUUACUUCUGCUGAUGAAUAGUCUUUUCCAAAGAAAACAAGAGCUUCUGUUUACAAGCUAAGAAGGCCACAAGAACAUCUGGGUCCUGUCAUCUAGAUUACAAGGGCUAUUCUGGCCCACACUGAAUAGUUUCCAUGCAAGGACAGUAUUGAGGAAUAUAGCAGUAGCUCUGCUCCAUGAACUGUCCAGACAGCAGAGAAAGGAUCAUCAGCAAAAUUCUUUCUGAAGAAAACCAGUUGGUAACCCAAUGUUAAAAAUGCUAUUUCACUGUUAGAUGCCUGUGGGACCUUGAUUUGUGUGCACACAUAUUGUGUGCAGAGAUAACACUUCCAAUGUCUUUAAGGUUUUAAGAUCUCCACACCAGUCUAACCUUCCAUUCAGCUGUUCUGUUUCCAGUCUUGAAGUUGUUCAAGUUAUGAGAUAGAUCUGGAAGUAAAAUAGGCUUCCAUUGGGUAUUUUCUGGGGAAGUGAGGUAGGAGACUCAGUUAAGUAUUUCUCAUCUUGAAGACCAAAGGGCCUGACCAGAUGAGGCAAAGAAUUGAAAAGGAAAGGGAGAAGGAUGACCAUUUAUGUUCCUGGAACAGUUCCAGAGAGAUAGAACCUAAGAUAUAUUUAGUAACCUUGCUGUUGAAAUGAAAUAUUGUGUAACUUCACCUUAGCAGCAAUAGUUAGCAUUUGUGUAAUCAUGCAAAGUAAAAAUGACCUACUUUUUAAUUAUAAAGAAAUGUAUUCAGUAACUCUAAAAUAUAAAAAGGAAAACUUUAAAAUAUACUUCCCAGAUAGCUAAAAUCUUCAUUACAUAUCAUUUCCCUAUACACUAAAAUUAUUGCCAUUUAAAAGGAAUUUAUCAGGUAUUAGGCAUUGGCUGUAUUGGCCAAGUACACAGUGCUGUGCUAAAUAAUCACAUUCCCGGGUGAAAUUUAGCACCAUUUACUAUUUUGAGGCAGUCAGAUUACAUCACUGUGUACCCAUGAUCUUGAGAGUCACUAUAAGGCAACAUUUCAACAAUCAAGGCAUGUUUGAUAAAAGAAGGAAAUCAGUAAUUUUCUAAACUUAAUGGAAAAAUUAUCUUCCAUGGAUAAACAAAGACAUAAAUUUCUGCUAUAAGGCUUCAUAUAAACUAUAUAGUAGAAAUCUCAGUUGCUUAUAAUAAUUAGAGAUUUUAAAAAGUAGAUUACAGAAAUAAUCCUAGAAUAAACUGCCUAAAUAAAGUGCUUAAAACUUUCUCUCUCUUGCUAAAGGCUUUUAACUUAUUUUUGCAAUUUAAUUUGCUUUCAACACUGUUCAAGUAUAUAGUUAUUUUAGAACUUUCUGAUUACUCAAUUUUUUCUAACUUUUGUUAGACUCAAGCCUUCAAUAAAUUUAAGGUGUAACCAGCAGUUUUGCUGCUUUUUUUGAUCUCAGAGAUCUGAUAAAGGGAUUCUGUCUUCAACUGACUCAGGGAACAAAUAAAUGAAAUAUACAUUCCUUAAGUGAGGAUUAGCCCCUUAUUUGUAGAGUGGCUGUCUAGUCCGCAUCCAGGUAGGAAGGCAAAUAUCUUUAUCUGGUAAAUAUCUGAGUAUUAUGAAAUUAAAGACAAAAAUAUCUUUGGAUGAAGAUUUUAAACCUUGCUUGCAGGAACAUAAGAAUUCUCUUAAUGGAGCACUUUUUUCCUCAAAGAAUAUCCCUCACAAAAUAUACUCUACCCUUUCUGAGGCAUUACUGGUUACGAUGAAUUUUAAGGUGUGGGAAAAAUCCUCCCAAAGGAGAAGUUUUUAGCUGUACUGCUGGUUUAGCUCUGUGAUAACUUAUGCUUGGUAGGACAUAUACAUAACUGUGUUCACUUCUCAUAAUCUUCCUUUUAAAAAUAAAAAAUUGUAUUCAUUUUUAUAGGCUUUUACUGAAGAUUACUGACCAUUAGAGUGUGACACCAAACCAUUUGAACGUUUCCUACUUUCUGUCACUAAGUUAAAAAUCUGCAUGUAUUGUUCACAGUAAGUCUUAGGAUUGUAAUGGUUUAAUGUCUGAUUUCAAUAUCACUGUAAUGACAUUCCUUCUUUUCAUCACAAUUCCUCUUCUUCUAAAUCACUGCCAUGGACUACUUUUCAGCAGGAGCCUUCCAUUAUAAAUCCUGAAGUUCACUGGAUUUGACAAUUAUUACUUCAUGGUGAAACUGUAAAAAACUUCUUAAACUAAGUAACUUUUCCUUAGGCUGAAGUCAAGAAUAGCUUGUUCAUUCUCCUCUCCUGUUUUUUCCCUGGACUGUGGAACUAGCUGUUCCAAGAAGCCAUCAUUUGAAUUGUUGAGAAAUUGCCUCUCAAAGAUCUGGCCUGAAAUAACAACUUGACAAUCUGUGUGCAACUAUUUGGAGUGGUACACUACUACUUCCUUAAAAAAAUUACAAUUAGUUUCUUCUUUGCUUUCCUUCACACUGCCUGCUCUGGAUGGUAUUUACAUACUAUAGGCAACCAAUUCAGGUAUCCAAAUGAGAAGUAUAGGCUUCUUAUGCCAUCAGUGGAAAGAGGAACAGUGCUUCAGAGGGCAAUUAAGAGUAAAACACUGAGAAAUCUGCCUGCUUUGUUAAUUUAUUGGAGGACCUGGGCACUUCUGUUAAAGGCCCGGGGCAGAUUGUGAAGAUGUCUGAACCUCCACAGAGCCUUUUUUAUUUUUUUGCUUUUAAUUGGGACAGAAAACAAGUACCAAAAUUUGUUAAUAAAGUGUCCCUUGAAUUGCAAUUUAAAUGCAUGGAGAGUCUCUUGUUACUUGUUGGUUCUCCUUCUAAAUAUUCUUCCUUCGGAUGAUUUUUCAAGAGAAUUGCUCUUUCCCUAUUACUGUCUCAGUCAGUUCUACACAGAUUUUAACCUAAUUAGCCCACUAUUUUUUUUUCUUUUGACUGGCUCCAGAAAAAAUUAAUUUCAUGGCUGGACAGAUAUUGUGGUUUGCCUUCAAUUGCUUUCAGCAUGUUCCUAUUAUUAUCCCUAUUUGAGGUACAGAUGAAUCUGUUUUGCUGGCAUCCCCAGUCAAUAUUGAUCUUUGGCCCUACUGCUCCUCUGCUGUUUGUGGUUUCUUCCCAAUAAAAAAUCACAACUUCCCAGGCCUCUGCCAUGUUCUCAUGCUGGCACCCUGUGAAGUUCUGCUUUGCACGCAAGGAGCCUACGCUUUUAAAAAAGCUCUCUGUCACCCCAGAAUGUUCCAGGCCCUACAGAAAAACAAACAAGAGCUUCAUUUAAGCCCUCUAGACAUGUUUCUGUCUAGCAGUUUUUGACAGAAAACUGCAACAAUUUUAAACAAAUCAUGGGCAUCCUGGACCAAAGGUUUCUUUUUUCUGUGCAAUCUAGUUUCCAUGAACUCUUAUAGAACACAAGCUUCUCCCUUGCACUAAAAAGGAUCUUCUCUAACUGCUGUCCCCACAGCUGGUCACGAAGCUGCUGAACAAUUAUCUGGGUUGCUGCAUACACAGAGUAUUUUGAUAACUAAAUGGCCUCUCAUUACAGCUUGUUAGCAACUGACAGUAUCUCCCCAUCUCCUAGAGGGACCACUUGGCUUUGUGCUUGCUCCUCUCUGAAAAGCUCAGUCUUUUAACAUUUCACCAUCUCCAUAUCUCGUCUUUUUUUUUUUUUUUUUCUUUUUAAUCCCUUUGUUAUUCCAGAAAAACAUUUUAUGAUUAUUACACUUUACCCCCAACUGCUGGUGAAAUAUAGGUGUUGCAUAUAAAACACCACUAACUACACAUGGGUAACUGACAGAAAAAAAGAACCAGUUCCUGCUUGUUUAAGAGACAUAGCCAAAGUACAUGGUGGAUGAAAUAAGCAGGGGAAAGGAGAAAGUUUCUGUAAAGAUCCAGUAUAACACAUACUCACUGAUGUACAGCCUGUACUGCUUUGAUUUUGCAGUGAGCCUAUAUUUCAUAAACUGAUCUUUUAAUUUAGAAAAAGAAGCUUGCACUGAGAAAGUUUCUAUUUAUACUUAUAAGAAUAUAGUAAUAAACAACAGAUUACUUCUGUUUCUCUCCAAAAUAAACUCUUUUCUUUACA